rnacentral:rRNA from 1 species
UACAGAGGUCCCGAGCGUUGUUCGGAUUUACUGGGCGUAAAGGGUGCGUAGGUGGCAGGGUAAGUUCGGUGUGAAAGCUCCGGGCUCAACCCGGAAACGGCAUUGAAUACUAUCCUGCUGGAGGGUCGGAGGGGAGACUGGAAUUCUCGGUGUAGCAGUGAAAUGCGUAGAUAUCGAGAGGAACACCGGUGGCGAAGGCGAGUCUCUGGACGAUUCCUGACACUGAUGCACGAAAGCUAGGGGAGCAAACAGG